GUGGGAAUGUAGAGAGAUCAAACCCCUAUGGUCACAGGUACAACAACUACUGGGGAAAACAUUGGGUUACAAGGUUGACCUCACACCAAUGGUGGCGAUCCUAUUGCUCUUUCCACCCACAUGGAAAAAAGGAGCCAAGAAACUGGCCUCCACUAUCAUAUUAGCGGCUAGAAACCUCAUUGCUCUACAUUGGCGGAGCACAUAUU